GACAAACGCUGGCGGCAUGCCUAACACAUGCAAGUCGAACGGACAGAACAGGGAAGCUUUUCGGAGUGGAACUGGAAAGUUAGUGGCGGAUGGGUGAGUAACGCGUGGACAACCUACCUUGUAAAGGGGAAUAACCUCGAGAAAUCGAAGCUAAUACCCCAUAAUACCCUUGCUUCGCAUGAAGUAAGGAGGAAAGGCGGCCUUAGCGCUGUCGAUACAAGAUGGGUCCGCGUCUGAUUAGCUAGUUGGUGAGGUAAAGGCUCACCAAGGCGACGAUCAGUAGCCGGCCUGAGAGGGUGAACGGCCACAUUGGGACUGGGACACGGCCCAAACUCCUACGGGAGGCAGCAGUGGGGAAUCUUCCGCAAAGGGCGAAAGCCUGACGGAGCAAUGCCGCGUGAGUGAAGAAGGCCUUCGGGUUGUAAAACUCUGUCCUUAUCGAAGAGAGAGCGUUGUAGUAACUGACAAUACUAGGACGGUAGAUGAGGAGGAAGCCCCGGCUAACUAUGUG
rnacentral:rRNA from 1 species